rnacentral:rRNA from 1 species
GACGUAGGGGGCCAGCGUUGUUCGGAAUUACUGGGUGUAAAGGGUUCGUAGGCGGUGCGGCAAGUCGGGAGUGAAAUCUCUGGGCUUAACCCAGAGGCUGCUUCCGAAACUGCUGUGCUUGAGUGUGGGAGAGGCGCGUGGAAUUGCAGGUGUAGCGGUGAAAUGCGUAGAUAUCGGGAGGAACACCAGUAGCGAAGGCGGCUCGCUGGGCCAUUCCUGACGCUGAGACGCGAAAGCUAGGGGAGCGAACAGG